rnacentral:rRNA from 1 species
AUUGAACGCUGGCGGCAUGCCUUACACAUGCAAGUCGAACGGCAGCACGGGAGCUUGCUCCUGGUGGCGAGUGGCGAACGGGUGAGUAAUACAUCGGAACGUACCCUGAAGUGGGGGAUAACGUAGCGAAAGUUACGCUAAUACCGCAUAUUCUGUGAGCAGGAAAGAGGGGGAUCGCAAGACCUCUUGCUUUAGGAGCGGCCGAUGUCGGAUUAGCUAGUUGGUGAGGUAAAGGCUCACCAAGGCGACGAUCCGUAGCGGGUCUGAGAGGAUGAUCCGCCACACUGGGACUGAGACACGGCCCAGACUCCUACGGGAGGCAGCAGUGGGGAAUUUUGGACAAUGGGCGCAAGCCUGAUCCAGCCAUGCCGCGUGAGUGAAGAAGGCCUCGGUUGUUAAAGGUACUACUUUCGGUUGGGGUAAGGAAAGUUAGG